CCUACGGGAGGCAGCAGUGGGGAAUCUUGCGCAAUGGGCGAAAGCCUGACGCAGCAACGCCGCGUGCGGGAUGACGGCCUUCGUGGUUGUAAACCGCUUUCAGCAGGGACGAAAAUGACGGUACCUGCAGAAGAAGCCCCGGCUAACUACGUGCCAGCAGCCGCGGUAAUA
rnacentral:rRNA from 1 species